GUCUGCCUCCCCGUCUUCCCUGGGCGCCCCUCCCCGGCCCCGUGCCGCACGCAUGCUUCCUGCCUUUCCCGCGUCGGUCCCCCCGCGUCCCGUGGGGUGUCACUCUCUGCCCGCGGCGCCCCCACCCCCACCCCACGCCUCGGCUUCUCCACGCGUCCCGGGCGCAGCACGCAGGGCUUUCCCCUCUGGUCUGGGGGCAUCCGCUACCCAGGCUUUGCACCACGGACCCAGAACCCAGGGACAGGUGCCUGAUGGGAAUGGCCACCUGGCUCCUUGCUAUGCUGCAUCACACCAGUCCCGCAGGAACCGGCCCUGUGUUGUUCUUACCAUGGAAACAUCUGGAGGUGAUCAGAAAGGCUGCGCUUCCUCCUCCACCUGAAUCAGAGGCAGCGGGUGGACACACACACAUGCUUCUUUUUUUUAAAAGGGACAAGAAAAAUCUAAGAAUCUACUCAAUUAAAAUGUCUGCCUUUUUUCUGGGGAGAGAAACAAACAAGGCUUUGCUUUUUCAUUGAA